rnacentral:lncRNA from 1 species
UUGGGCGGUGAGUCCUCGGAUGGCUUCCGGUGGUGCGGGGAAAGCCCUGCGUGCUGGAUCCCGCUGUGUCGGGGGACAAGGGCCCUGGAUGGCGGUUGGUCGUGGACAGAGACGCGCACGCGGCUUGCCAAGAGCUGCUCCCCGCCCGCGCGGCCUCAAGUCUGACUGAGUCCCACAGCUCGGAGGCUUCGUGGGUUGAAAAAGACAACUAUUAUCCUUAAAAAAAAGAACAAACAAAACAAAACAAAAAACAAAAAGAAAACAACAACAACAAAAAAACACAAACACACACCGGAACGCCUAUAUAAAGAGCUAAGCGGCAGUAGGACUGGAGAUAACGGGUCUCCAAUCUUCUCACGCGCUUCUAAACCACACGACGCCAACAAGAAGUGGAUUAAGGGCGGCGCCUCCCCCAGCAGGCGCGCUCCACGCGGCAUCAAGUCCAGGGGGUUCAGCGAAGCUACGAAUGACACCGACAGGAUUCGGACGCUCCUAGAAUACUAAUAUAAGGAUGGACAUUGGAGCCUCAUGACAAAAAUGAAAGUGAACAUGAUGUGGGAAAUAUGAAGAUAGGACCCACAAGCUAAGGAUUCUGGAGCAGAAAGGUAGGAGUCUGAGUCAUUUAUGAUAUCUUGAAGCUGCUGCAGGAAGUAGUCCUAAAGUGGCCACCCCUCAACUCAUUGUAACCCCAAUUUGGUUAGCUUGUUUUCUGUUAUACUGUAGCUAAACGUGUUCUUAGCUAAUACUAUGAUAUUAUCUUCUAGUCAUCUUGCUUGUAAACUCGACUGGUUAGAUAGCAACAUGACCAUAUGUCAGAAAUGAAAGAGCUGUCACAAAGUAACACAUCAAGUCCUGUAACAUUUCCUGCCAAUUUCAUAGGUAUACCAAAUUAUAUGAUUAAGAAAUACAUGUGUAUUAAAGGAAAAAAUAGAAAGUAGAGAGAAAGAUAAGAAUACCCUUAGUUGGAGGCACCUGGGUGGCUCAGUUGGUUAAGCAUCUGACUUGAUUUCACUCAAGUCAUGAUCUCAGAGUCCUGGGAUGAGGCCCCACAUCAGGCUUCCUGCUGAGUGGGGAGUUUGCUUGUCUUGUUUCCCUCUACCCCUCCCUCUGCAUGUGCACGUACACUCUCUUUGUCUAAAAUAUAUAAACCUCUUUUAAAAAUACCCAUAGUUGAACCUUCUAAAGUCCCAUUUUAACAUUUUGCUAUAGUUGUGUUUCAUCUUAUUUUAUUCAGAGGUUCCCUCCCCCGUCAUUAUGACAUUACUGCAAAUUCAUCUUUUGUUUAAC